CUGGGAGGACCAUCUCCUAAGGCUAAAUACUCUCUAGUGACCGAUAGUGAACCAGUACCGUGAGGGAAAGGUGAAAAGCACCCCGGAAGGGGAGUGAAAUAGAACCUGAAACCGUGUGCUUACAAGUAGUCAGAGCCCGUUAAUGGGUGAUGGCGUGCCUUUUGUAGAAUGAACCGGCGAGUUACGAUUUGAUGCAAGGUUAAGCAGUAAAUGUGGAGCCGUAGCGAAAGCGAGUCUGAAUAGGGCGUUUAGUAUUUGGUCGUAGACCCGAAACCAGGUGAUCUACCCUUGGUCAGGUUGAAGUUCAGGUAACACUGAAUGGAGGACCGAACCGACUUACGUUGAAAAGUGAGCGGAUGAACUGAGGGUAGCGGAGAAAUUCCAAUCGAACCUGGAGAUAGCUGGUUCUCUCCGAAAUAGCUUUAGGGCUAGCCUCAAGUGAUGAUUAUUGGAGGUAGAGCACUGUUUGGACGAGGGGCCCCUCUCGGGUUACCGAAUUCAGACAAACUCCGAAUGCCAAUUAAUUUAACUUGGGAGUCAGAACAUGGGUGAUAAGGUCCAUGUUCGAAAGGGAAACAGCCCAGACCACCAGCUAAGGUCCCAAAAUAUAUGUUAAGUGGAAAAGGAUGUGGCGUUGCCCAGACAACUAGGAUGUUGGCUUAGAAGCAGCCAUCAUUUAAAGAGUGCGUAAUAGCUCACUAGUCGAGUGACACUGCGCCGAAAAUGUACCGGGGCUAAACAUAUUACCGAAGCUGUGGAUUGUCCUUUGGACAAUGGUAGGAGAGCGUUCUAAGGGCGUUGAAGCAUGAUCGUAAGGACAUGUGGAGCGCUUAGAAGUGAGAAUGCCGGUGUGAGUAGCGAAAGA
rnacentral:rRNA from 1 species